UGUUUCUGGUGCUGCGCUGAUGGUUGCCUGACUCCACGGAUUUGGGGGUCGGCGAUGGUUGGACAAGGUAUGCUCCUCCCCCCUUCCACCGAAUCCCACGUUCAGCAGACGCAUUGCCGUGCCCUCCACGCAAGUGUAUUGCGGUCACACGCACAUCUGUGCCGCCCACACGCAUGUGCGACCGUGCGGUCCACCGCGCCGCGAAUCACAUGACCCUGUCCCCCGUGUGAUGCGCUGUCAUAGAUGCACAACCCGCGUGACGCUCGUACUGCGAGUCCCCCCGAAAAAGAAAUCACGCGUUCUCCAGUGCAUUCUUUCGCGGCCUAUGCCUGUAUGUAAAUGGGCUUGUCUGUGUCUGUGUCUCUGACCCUGCCGUGCCGUCGCGCCCGUGACCCGUCUCAUGGGCCACGCGAAAAUGAGAGAGAAGACUGCGCUGCCCUUCUUGUUCUCUUUCGCCUAUAUUCGCUCCUAGGUCAAGUGCCUUGCCUACUAUAACACACCAAUAGGUCGUUGCCGAACUGCGCCCACACGCGGCCCUUAUCUUCGCUGGCUGGAGCCUCCCCCUUCAACCUUGUUGGAGAUUUUGGACAGGGGAUGUGUGCGUGUCUCAAAACGGACAGGGUGCUAUUUCGGCGGUGCAAGCCAUGAUGGCGGCUUGUGGAACACAUCUUUCCGCAUACCGCAUCGCGCACGAAGUGCGUUUCAUUCGGUGCCAUCUGCUGCUCUGGCGAGCGGUGUCAAGACUGCGUCUGGCAGCGUGCGGCCGCACAUGCACAGCUUUUUC
rnacentral:misc_RNA from 1 species